GAUGAACGCUGGCGGCGUGCUUAACACAUGCAAGUCGAACGGACCUAUGUUGAAACCUAGUGAUAUAUAAGUUAGUGGCGGACGGGUGAGUAACGCGUGGAUAACCUGCCAUAUACAGGGGGAUAACACUUAGAAAUAGGUGCUAAUACCGCAUAAGCGCACAGUUUCGCAUGAAGCAGUGUGAAAAACUCCGGUGGUAUAUGAUGGAUCCGCGUCUGAUUAGCUUGUUGGCGGGGUAACGGCCCACCAAGGCGACGAUCAGUAGCCGGCCUGAGAGGGUGAACGGCCACAUUGGGACUGAGACACGGCCCAA
rnacentral:rRNA from 1 species